GCAUAUCAAUAAGCGGAGGAAAAGAAACCAACAGGGGAUUGCCCCAGUAACGGCGAGUGAAGCGGCAACAGCUCAAAUUUGAAAUCUGGCCCCCAGGGCCCGAGUUGUAAUUUGUAGAGGAUGCUUUUGGCGCGGUGCCUUCCGAGUUCCCUGGAACGGGACGCCAUAGAGGGUGAGAGCCCCGUCUGGUUGGACACCUAGCCUCUGUAAAGCUCCUUCGACGAGUCGAGUAGUUUGGGAAUGCUGCUCUAAAUGGGAGGUAUAUGUCUUCUAAAGCUAAAUACCGGCCAGAGACCGAUAGCGCACAAGUAGAGUGAUCGAAAGAUGAAAAGCACUUUGAAAAGAGGGUUAAAUAGUACGUGAAAUUGUUGAAAGGGAAGCGUUUGUGACCAGACUUGGGCCCGGUUGAUCAUCCACCGUUCUCGGUGGUGCACUCUGCCGGCCCAGGCCAGCAUCAGUUCGCGCCGGGGGAUAAAGGCUUCGGGAAUGUGGCUCCUCCGGGAGUGUUAUAGCCCGUUGUGUAAUACCCUGGUGCGGACUGAGGUUCGCGCUCCGCAAGGAUGCUGGCGUAAUGGUCAUCAGCGACCCGUCUUGAAACACGGACCAAGGAGUCGUCUUCGUAUGCGAGUGUUCGGGUGUCAAACCCCUACGCGUAAUGAAAGUGAACGCAGGUGAGAGCUUCGGCGCAUCAUCGACCGAUCCUGAUGUUCUCGGAUGGAUUUGAGUAAGAGCAUACGGGGCCGGACCCGAAAGAAGGUGAACUAUGCCUGUAUAGGGUGAAGCCAGAGGAAACUCUGGUGGAGGCUCGCAGCGGUUCUGACGUGCAAAUCGAUCGUCAAAUAUGGGCAUGGGGGCGAAAGACUAAUCGAACCUUCUAGUAGCUGGUUUCCGCCGA
rnacentral:rRNA from 2 species